rnacentral:rRNA from 1 species
UACGGAGGGGGCUAGCGUUGUUCGGAAAUACUGGGCGUAAAGCGAACGUAGGCGGCUUGGCAAGUCAGGGGGUGAAAUCCCAGUGCUCAACACUGGAACUGCCUUUGAAACUGCCAGGCUUGAAUCCUGGAGAGGCGAGUGGAAUUCCGAGUGUAGAGGUGAAAUUCGUAGAUAUUCGGAAGAACACCAGUGGCGAAAGCACUCUGCUGGGCCGACACUGACACUGAGAGACGAAAGCUAGGGGAGCGAAUGGG